rnacentral:rRNA from 1 species
AAGACCUUGCGCUUUUGGAGCGGCCGAUGUCUGAUUAGCUAGUUGGUAGGGUAAUGGCCUACCAAAGCUUCGAUCAGUAGCUGGUCUGAGAGGACGACCAGCCACACUGGGACUGAGACACGGCCCAGACUCCUACGGGAGGCAGCAGUGGGGAAUUUUGGACAAUGGGCGCAAGCCUGAUCCAGCCAUGCCGCGUGAGUGAAGAAGGCCUUCGGGUUGUAAAGCUCUUUCAGCCGGGAAGAAAAGGUUGCGACUAAUAAUCGCAAUUCAUGACGGUACCGAAAGAAGAAGCACCGGCUAACUACGUGCCAGCAGCCGCGGUAAUACGUAGGGUGCGAGCGUUAAUCGGAAUUACUGGGCGUAAAGGGUGCGCAGGCGGUUUUGUAAGUCAGAUGUGAAAUCCCCGGGCUUAACCUGGGAACU